GUGGGAGUGUGUGGACUUUUACCCGGUAUCUACUAAAAAAACAAACGGGUUGGACACAUCAUAUAACGGGCCGGGUGUAAAGCAUGUGUUAAAAGCAAGUUUAGAUGACAAUAAGCAAGAUCAUUAUGCUAUUGGUACGUAUGACUUGGGAAAGAACAAAUGGACACCCGAUAACCCGGAAUUGGAUUGUGGAAUUGGGUUGAGACUAGACUAUGGGAAAUAUUAUGCAUCAAAGACUUUUUAUGACCCGAAGAAAGAACGAAGAGUACUGUGGGGAUGGAUUGGGGAAACUGACAGUGAAUCUGCUGACCUGCAGAAGGGAUGGGCAUCUGUACAGAGUAUUCCAAGGACAGUGCUUUACGACAAGAAGACAGGGACACAUCUACUUCAGUGGCCAGUGGAAGAAAUUGAAAGCUUAAGAGUGGGUGAUCCUACUGUUAAGCAAGUCGAUCUUCAACCAGGCUCAAUUGAGCUACUCCGUGUUGACUCAGCUGCAGAGUUGGAUAUAGAAGCCUCAUUUGAAGUGGACAAAGUCGCGCUUCAGGGAAUAAUUGAAGCAGAUCAUGUAGGUUUCAGUUGCUCUACUAGUGGAGGUGCUGCUAGCAGAGGCAUUUUGGGACCAUUUGGUGUCAUAGUAAUUGCUGAUCAAACGCUAUCUGAGCUAACGCCAGUUUACUUUUACAUUUCUAAAGGAGCUGAUGGUCGUGCAGAGACUCACUUCUGUGCUGAUCAAACUAGAUCCUCUGAGGCUCCGGGAGUUGGUAAACAAGUUUAUGGUAGUUCAGUACCUGUGUUGGACGGUGAAAAACAUUCAAUGAGAUUAUUGGUGGAUCACUCAAUUGUGGAGAGCUUUGCUCAAGGAGGAAGAACAGUCAUAACAUCGCGAAUUUACCCAACAAAGGCAGUAAAUGGAGCAGCACGACUCUUUGUUUUCAACAAUGCCACAGGGGCUAGCGUUACUGCCUCCGUCAAGAUUUGGUCACUUGAGUCAGCUAAUAUUCAAUCCUUCCCUUUGCAAGACUUGUAAUCUUCUUUAUUUCGUUUUUUUUUUCUUUUUCAUUUGAAGGUUAUUUCACCGACGUCCCAUCAAGAAAGGGAAGAGGGAGAUCAAUAUAUGUAGUGUUAUUCGCCCUACCUUAGGAUUAGAUGUCAUCUAGCAAUGUCAAAUCUAGUAGAGUAUACAAUGUAUGGGUUCCUGGAAACCGAGUAGAGCUUACCUGGAUUCUAUGUAAACUAAGAAAGCUCAGCAAAUAUAUGCACAAAUAAUUU
rnacentral:misc_RNA from 1 species